AGGUGCGGGAGGACAAGUGAAGCCACCGCCUCCACUCCCAGUACCUACUACUCCAUCAUCUAAACCUAAAAAAACUAAGUGCAAAGCCAAAGUAGAUCUG